AUUGAACGCUGGCGGCAGGCCUAACACAUGCAAGUCGAACGAGUGGCGGACGGGUGAGUAAUGUCUGGGAAACUGCCCGAUGGAGGGGGAUAACUACUGGAAACAGUAGCUAAUACCGCAUACCAUCGGAUGUUCACAGAUGGGAUUAGCUAGUAGGUGGGGUAACGGCGCACCUAGGCGACGAUCCCUAGCUGGUCUGAGCGGAUGACCAGCAACACGGGAACUGAGACACGGUCCAGACUCCUACGGGAGGCAGCAGUGGGGAAGAGUGCACAAUGGGCGCAAGCCUGAUGCAGCCAUGCCGCGUGUAUGAAGAAGGCCGUCGGGUUGUAAAGUACUUUCAGCGAGGAGGCGUUACUCGCAGAAGAAGCACCGGCGAACUCCGUGCCAGCCGCCGCGGUAAUUC
rnacentral:rRNA from 1 species